CUUACCAAGGCAAUGAUGCGUAGCCGAACUGAGAGGUUGAUCGGCCACAUUGGGACUGAGACACUGCCCAAACUCCUACGGGAGGCAGCAGUAGGGAAUCUUCCNCAAUGGGCGAAGACUGAUGGAGCAACGCCGCGUGGUGAGAACGAGUUUCGGAUCGUAAAACCUGUGUUGAGAGGAAGACAGUCAAGAUACUGUCUAGUCGACGUNACACGAGACGCGACGUACUAACGUGCACGUCGUGGAGGCCGAGGGUACACGUACGAGGGGAUAAGGCGUAUCGGAUUAUGGGCUAGCGACGCGGCCGCGUCGACAGCUUACCAAGCACGAUCUGUAGCUGGUCUGAGAGGACACCAGCACAUGGGACUGAGCACGGCCAGCUCCAGGGAGCAGCAAGUGGGAAUCUUCCGCAAAUGGACGCAAAGUCUGAACGGAGCAAACGCCGNGUGAGUGACGAAAGGUUUUCGGAUCGUAAAAACUCUGUUAGNGAAGGGAGAAACAGUACCAAGUAACUACNGGGUUUACCCG
rnacentral:rRNA from 1 species